rnacentral:rRNA from 1 species
CCUACGGGAGGCAGCAGUGAGGAAUAUUGGUCAAUGGUCGGGAGACUGAACCAGCCAAGCCGCGUGAGGGAGGAAGGUACAGAGUAUCGUAAACCUCUUUUGUCAGGGAACAAAGGCGGGGACGUGUCCCCGGAUGAGUGUACUUGAAGAAAAAGCAUCGGCUAACUCCGUGCCAGCAGCCGCGGUAAUACGGAGGAUGCGAGCGUUAUCCGGAUUUAUUGGGUUUAAAGGGUGCGCAGGCGGAAUGUCAAGUCAGCGGUAAAAUUUCGGGGCUCAACCCCGUCGUGUCGUUGAAACUGGCGUUU